rnacentral:rRNA from 1 species
GUGGGGAAUAUUGGACAAUGGGCGCAAGCCUGAUCCAGCAAUGCCGCGUGGGUGAAGAAGGUCUUCGGAUCGUAAAGCCCUUUCGACAGGGACGAUGAUGACGGUACCUGUAGAAGAAGCCCCGGCUAACUUCGUGCCAGCAGUCGCGGUAAUACGAAGGGGGCUAGCGUUACUCGGAAUUACUGGGCGUAAAGGGCGCGUAGGCGGCUCUGUUAGUCAGGCGUGAAAUUCCUGGGCUUAACCUGGGGACUGCGCUUGAUACUGCAGGGCUUGAGGCCGAGAGAGGGUGGUGGAAUUCCCAGUGUAGAGGUGAAAUUCGUAGAUAUUGGGAAGAACACCGGUGGCGAAGGCGACCACCUGGCUCGGUUCUGACGCUGAGGCGCGACAGCGUGGGGAGCAAACAGGAUUAGAUACCCUUGUAGUCC